GCGGAUAUGCUGCAACUUUCAUGCUUAAUUUUCUCAGUCAUCUGGGUAUGUAGUAAUCUAAUUUUAUGCAAUGUAAUGUGCUAUUUUUUCAAGCGCUUUUCAAUGCAGUUAUCGGUUUAAAUAUACCUAAAAUUCCCGUUCAGAGAUAUGACAAUUGCCGUACGGCCUACUUUUACGCAAACGAAAAUUUAAUUUAGCUACAAUUGCAAAAAUUUCAUGCUUAAUUUUCUCUGUUAUCUGGGUAUGUAGUAAUCUAAUUUUAUGCAAUGUAAUGUGCUGUUUUUUCAAGGACUUCUCAAUGCAGUUAUCGGUUUAAAUAUAACUCAAAUUCCCGUUGAGAUAUGACAAUUGCCUUACGGACUACUUCCACGCAAACGCAAAUUACAACUGCAAAUUUCAUCAGCACAUCACAUUGGCAUAAAAUUACAUUACUACAUGCCCGGAUAACAGAGAAAAUUAAGCAUGAAAGUGGCAAUUGUAGCUAAUUUUCGUUUGCGCAAAAGUAGGCCGUACGGCAAUUGUCAUAUCUCUUAACGGGAAUUUUAGGUAUAUUUAAACCGAUAACUGCAUUGAAAAGCCCUUGAAAAUAUAACACAUUAC